rnacentral:rRNA from 1 species
UACAGAGGGUGCGAGCGUUAAUCGGAAUUACUGGGCGUAAAGCGCACGUAGGCGGCCUGCUAAGUCGAACGUGAAAUCCCCGGGCUCAACCCGGGAACUGCGUCCGAUACUGGCAGGCUUGAAUCCGGGAGAGGGAUGCGGAAUUCCAGGUGUAGCGGUGAAAUGCGUAGAUAUCAGGAGGAACACCGGCGGUGUAGACGGCUCUCUGGACAGUUACUGACGCUGAGACACGAAAGCGUGGGGAGCAAACAGG